rnacentral:rRNA from 1 species
UGGGGAAUAUUGCACAAUGGGCGAAAGCCUGAUGCAGCGACGCCGCGUGCGGGAUGAAGGCCUUCGGGUUGUAAACCGCUUUUAAUUGGGAGCAAGCGAGAGUGAGUGUACCUUUUGAAUAAGCACCGGCUAACUACGUGCCAGCAGCCGCGGUAAUACGUAGGGUGCAAGCGUUAUCCGGAAUUAUUGGGCGUAAGGAGCUCGUAGGCGGUUUGUCACGCCUGGUGUGAAAGUCCAUCGCUUAACGGUGGAUCUGCGCCGGGUACGGGCAGGCUAGAGUGCAGUAGGGGAGAUUGGAAUUCCCGGUGUAACGGUGGAAUGUGUAGAUAUCGGGAAGAACACCAAUGGCGAAGGCAGAUCUCUGGGCUGUUACUGACGCUGAGGAGCGAAAGCAUGGGGAGCGAACAGGAUUAGAUACCCUGGUAGUCCAUGCCGUAAACGGUGGAUGCUGGAUGUGGGACCCUUCCACGGGUUCCGUGUCGGAGCUAACGCGUUAAGCAUCCCGCCUGGGGAGUACGGCCGCAAGGCUAAAAC